UGUGGGAGCGAGCUUGCUCGCGAAGGCGUCCUGUCAGUCACCUUCUAAUUGACUGGCACACCGCUUUCGCGAGCAAGCUCGCUCCCACA
rnacentral:ncRNA from 2 species